GAUCAUGGCUCAGAUUGAACGCUGGCGGCAGGCCUAACACAUGCAAGUCGAGCGGAUGACAGGAGCUUGCUCCUGAAUUCAGCGGCGGACGGGUGAGUAAUGCCUAGGAAUCUGCCUGGUAGUGGGGGACAACGUUUCGAAAGGAACGCUAAUACCGCAUACGUCCUACGGGAGAAAGCAGGGGACCUUCGGGCCUUGCGCUAUCAGAUGAGCCUAGGUCGGAUUAGCUAGUUGGUGAGGUAAUGGCUCACCAAGGCGACGAUCCGUAACUGGUCUGAGAGGAUGAUCAGUCACACUGGAACUGAGACACGGUCCAGACUCCUACGGGAGGCAGCAGUGGGGAACAUUGGACAAUGGGCGAAAGCCUGAUCCAGCCAUGCCGCGUGUGUGAAGAAGGUCUUCGGAUUGUAAAGCACUUUAAGUUGGGAGGAAGGGCAUUAACCUAAUACGUUAGUGUUUUGACGUUACCGACAGAAUAAGCACCGGCUAACUCUGUG
rnacentral:rRNA from 1 species